CCUACGGGUGGCAGCAGUGGGGGAUAUUGCACAAUGGGGGAAACCCUGAUGCAGCGACGCCGCGUGAGUGUAGAUGUACUUCGGUAUGUAAAGCUCUAUCAGCCGGGAAGAAAAUGACAGUACCUUAGCAAGAAGCCCCGGCUAACCACGUGCGAGCCGCCGCGGUAAUACGUAGGGGGCAAGCGUUUUCCGGAUUUACGGGGUGUAAAGGGAGCUUAGACGGUUAGGUAAGUCUGGAGUGAAGGCCCCGGGCCCAACCCCGGAACUGCUUUGGAAACUGUGUAGCUGGAGUACAGACGGGGUAGGAGGAAUUGCUGGUGUAGCGGUGAAAUGCGUAGAUAGCAGGAGGAACACCGGCGGCGAAGGCGGCCUGCUGGUCUGAAACUGACGUUGAGGCUCGAAAGCGUGGGGAGCAAACAGGAUUAGAUACCCGAGUAGUC
rnacentral:rRNA from 1 species